rnacentral:tRNA from 1 species
GGGUCGGUAGCGCAGAGGCAGGCGCACCUCCAUGGCAUGGAGGGCACGCCGGUUCGAAUCCGGCUCGGCCCA